rnacentral:pre_miRNA from 1 species
CUUUCUGUGCAGGUUGGGAGAGGUGGCAGUGCUCUAUGCUUAAGUGGUAUUGCACUUGUCCCGGCCUGUUGAGGACAG